CCUUCCCUUCCCUUCCCGCACCUUCCCUUCCCGCACCUUCCCUUCCCGCACCUUCCCUUCCCGCACCUUCCCCCUCCCCAUCAUUUUCUUUUUCCUUCUCCCUUCUCCUCUCUUUCCCCCUUCCUUUUCUUUUUCCCCUCAAAGCUUCAGCUUUGGUUCAGGAUUGCAGAUCUGGCCCUGCAUGAAAUAAUUUUCCUAUCUAAACCAGUUGUCAGGGCUCCUUCUAAAUAUGAGAGAAAGACAAUGAGAGACAGAGAAAACAAAUUGUCUCUGACUGUGAGAAGUGGGGUGACCUAUUCCUGGAAGCACAACCACCUUUCCAUGAGUGGUGAUCUCAGUGGCUAGAAGAAAUGAUCCGGUCGAGGUCGUUCACAGGAAGCUUAACUAAGACCAUAAUAACAACGGUCGUUGGCUAUGGGGUUGAGAAACUCAUAGAAAUUAUGUUCGAAGAAUCAAGAAGGAGAAGGGAGAGGAAGACCACAAAAGUCCUGGUAUGUAAGAUAAAUGAAGACUUCCGGGAGCUCACAAAAAAAAUUAAAGCUGUACAAGAACAUUUCAAAGAAUUGCAGGAGUCCAGACAGAAGGAGCAUCAGCUCCUCAGAGCAGAGCUGGAGA
rnacentral:lncRNA from 1 species